rnacentral:rRNA from 1 species
CCCUUAGAUGUUCUGGGCCGCACGCGCGCUACACUGAUGCAUUCAACAAGUUUUACCUUGGCCGAGAGGCCUGGGAAGUCUUUCAAAUAUGUAUCGUGAUAGGGAUAGAUUAUUGCAAUUAUUAAUCUUGAACGAGGAAUUCCUAGUAAAUGCAGAUCAUCAUUCUGCGUUGAUUACGUCCCUGCCCUUUGUACACACCGCCCGUCGCACCUACCGAUUGAAUGAUCCGGUGAAGCCUCGGGAUUGUGCCCAGAGAACUUUAUUGUGAUUUGGGUGUGAGAACUUGUCUAAACCUUAUCAUUUAGAGGAAGGUGAAGUCGUAACA